UGUUUUUUUUUUUUUUUUUUUUUUUUUUUUUUUUUUUCAGAU
rnacentral:ribozyme from 1 species